UACAGAGGGGGCAAGCGUUAUUCGGAAUUAUUGGGCGUAAAGGGCGCGUAGGCGGUUUGGCAAGUGGAAGGUGAAAUCCCUCGGCUUAACCGAGGAACUGCCCUCCAAACUGCUUCGCUUGAGACCGGGAGAGGUGAGUGGAAUUCCCAGUGUAGCGGUGAAAUGCGUAGAUAUUGGGAGGAACACCAGUGGCGAAGGCGGCUCACUGGACCGGUACUGACGCUGAUGCGCGAAAGCGUGGGGAGCAAACGGG
rnacentral:rRNA from 1 species